UACGUAGGGGGCUAGCGUUGUCCGGAAUCAUUGGGCGUAAAGAGCGUGUAGGCGGCCCGGUAAGUCCGCUGUGAAAGUCGGGGGCUCAACCCUCGAAUGCCGGUGGAUACUGUCGGGCUAGAGUGCGGAAGAGGCGAGUGGAAUUCCUGGUGUAGCGGUGAAAUGCGCAGAUAUCAGGAGGAACACCAAUUGCGAAGGCAGCUCGCUGGGACGUAACUGACGCCGAGACGCGAAAGCGUGGGGAGCAAACAGG
rnacentral:rRNA from 1 species